CAGUCGCCACGGGAAUACGUAGGUGGCAAGCGUUGUCCGGAAUUAUUGGGCGUAAAGGGCUCGCAGGCGGUUUCUUAAGUCUGAUGUGAAAGCCCCCGGCUCAACCGGGGAGGGUCAUUGGAAACUAGGAAACUUGAGUGCAGAAGAGGAGAGUGGAAUUCCACGUGUAGCGGUGAAAUGCGUAGAGAUGUGGAGGAACACCAGUGGCGAAGGCGACUCUCUGGUCUGUAACUGACGCUGAGGAGCGAAAGCGUGGGGAGCGAACAGGAUUAGAGACCCCCGUAGUCCCUGUCUCUUAUAC
rnacentral:rRNA from 1 species